UACGAAGGGGGCUAGCGUUGCUCGGAAUCACUGGGCGUAAAGCGCACGUAGGCGGCUUUUUAAGUCAGAGGUGAAAUCCUGGAGCUCAACUCCAGAACUGCCUUUGAUACUGAGAGGCUUGAGUCCGGGAGAGGUGAGUGGAACUGGCGAGUGUAGAGGUGAAAUUCGUAGAUAUUCGCAAGAACACCAGUGGCGAAGGCGGCUCACUGGCCCGGUACUGACGCUGAGGUGCGAAAGCGUGGGGAGCAAACAGG
rnacentral:rRNA from 1 species